rnacentral:rRNA from 1 species
UGGGGAAUAUUGCACAAUGGGGGAAACCCUGAUGCAGCGACGUCGCGUGAGCGAAGAAGGCUUUCGAGUCGUAAAGCUCUGUCCUAUGAGAAGAUAAUGACGGUAUCAUAGGAGGAAGCCCUGGCUAAAUACGUGCCAGCAGCCGCGGUAAUACGUAUGGGGCGAGCGUUGUCCGGAAUUAUUGGGCGUAAAGGGUACGUAGGCGGUUUUUUAAGUCAGGUGUCAAAGCGUGGAGCUUAACUCCAUUAAGCACUUGAAACUGAAAGACUUGAGUGAAGGAGAGGAAAGUGGAAUUCCUAGUGUAGCGGUGAAAUGCGUAGAUAUUAGGAGGAAUACCGGUGGCGAAGGCGACUUUCUGGACUUUUACUGACGCUCAGGUACGAAAGCGUGGGGAGCAAACAGG